GCCCCUGUGGCGGAAUUGGUAGACGCGGCAGACUCAAAAUCUGUUGCCGGCAACGGCGUGCUGGUUCGAGUCCGGCCAGGGGCACCA
rnacentral:tRNA from 2 species